rnacentral:rRNA from 3 species
AAUGACUCUCGGCAAUGGAUAUCUCGGCUCUUGCAUCGAUGAAGAACGUAGUGAAAUGCGAUACUUGGUGUGAAUUGCAGAAUCUCGUGAACCAUUGAGUCUUUGAACGCAAGUUGUGCCCGAGGCCUUGUGGCCGAGGGCACGCCUGCUUGGGCGUCAUGGC